AAUACUAGCCCAACCAACCCAACAUAAAACUAAACAAAAACACAUAAACCAAAGCAUUUACCAGACUAAAGUAUAGGCGAUAGAAAUUAUACAAUGGCGCUAUAGAAAAAGUACCGUAAGGGAAAGAUGAAAGAUGCAUUCAAAGUACAAAACAGCAAAGAUUACCCCUUAUACCUUUUGCAUAAUGAGCUAACUAGAAACACUCCAGCAAAGAGAACUUAAGCUGGAAACCCCGAAACCAGACGAGCUACCUAUGAGCAGUUUAAAGAACCCACUCGUCUAUGUAGCAAAAUAGUGAGAAGACUUAUAGGUAGGGGUGAAAAGCCUAACGAGCCUGGUGAUAGCUGGUUGUCCAAGAAAUGAAUUUAAGUUCAACUUGAAAUUAUACCUAAAAGCCCAAAAACUAUAAUGUAAACUUCAAGUAUAGUCUAAAAAGGUACAGCUUUUUAGAAACAGAAUUAAAUCUUGAUUAGAGAGUAAACAGUAUAACAACCAUAGUUGGCCUAAAAGCAGCCAUCAAUUAAGAAAGCGUCAAAGCUCAACAAUAAAAUGUAAAUAAUACCACAAAUCAAAAUCAACUCCUAAAAAUAAUAUUGGACUAAUCUAUUAACAAAUAGAAGAAAUAAUGUUAGCAUGAGUAACAAGAAACAAAUCUCCUUGCACAAGCUUAUAUCAGAACGGAUAAUCCACUGAUAGUUAACAACAAAACAAACUAAAUCCAAAAAUAAAACUUUGUUAAACAAAUUGUUAAUCCAACACAGGUGUGCAUAAUCUAAAGGAAAGGUUAAAACAAAUGAAAGGAACUCGGCAAA
rnacentral:rRNA from 1 species